GGAGAGGUGACCGAGUGGCUGAAGGUGCUCGCCUGCUAAGCGAGUGAGGGGAUCAUACUCCUCCGAGGGUUCGAAUCCCUCCCUCUCCGCCA
rnacentral:tRNA from 3 species